rnacentral:rRNA from 1 species
GAGCGAUGAACACCUUCGGGUGUGAAUUAGCGGCGAACGGGUGAGGAACACGUGAAGAAUCUGCCUUCAACUCUGGGAUAACUCCGGGAAACCGGGGCUAAUACCGGAUAUGAGCCUCGAUCGCAUGAUUGGGGCUGGAAAGUUUUUCGGUUGAAGAUGACUUCGCGGCCUAUCAGCUUGUUGGUGAGGUAAUGGCUCACCAAGGCGACGACGGGUAGCCGGCCUGAGAGGGCGACCGGCCACACUGGGACUGAGACACGGCCCAGACUCCUACGGGAGGCAGCAGUGGGGAAUAUUGGGCAAUGGAGGAAACUCUGACCCAGCGACGCCGCGUGAGGGAUGAAGGCCUUCGGGUUGUAAACCUCUUUCAGUAGGGAAGAAGCGAAAGUGACGGUACCUACAGAAGAAGCACCGGCUAACUAUGUGCCAGCAGCCGCGGUAAUACAUAGGGUGCAAGCGUUGUCCGGAAUUAUUGGGCGUAAAGAGCUCGUAGGUGGUUCGAUACGUCGGAUGUGAAAAUCAGGGGCUCAACCCCUGACCUGCAUCCGAUACGGUCGAGCUAGAGUUUGGUAGGGGAGACUGGAAUUCCUGGUGUAGCGGUGGAAUGCGCAGAUAUCAGGAGGAACACCGAUGGCGAAGGCAGGUCUCUGGGCCAAUACUGACACUGAGGAGCGAAAGCGUGGGGAGCGAACAGGAUUAGAUACCCUGGUAGUCCACGCCGUAAACGGUGGGCGCUAGUUGUGCGAACCUUCCACGGUUUGUGCGACGCAGCUUACGCAUUAAGCGCCCCGCCUGGGGAGUACGAUCGCAAGAUUAAAACUCAAAGGAAUUGACGGGGCCCC